rnacentral:rRNA from 1 species
CCUACGGGAGGCAGCAGUGGGGAAUAUUGCACAAUGGGGGAAACCCUGAUGCAGCGACGCCGCGUGAGUGAAGAAGUAAUUCGUUGUGUAAAGCUCUAUCAGCAGGGAAGAAAAUGACGGUACCUGAGUAAGAAGCCCCGGCUAACUACGUGCCAGCAGCCGCGGUAAUACGUAGGGGGCAAGCGUUAUCCGGAUUUACUGGGUGUAAAGGGAGCGUAGACGGCAUUGCAAGUCUGUAGUGAAAGGCGGGGGCUCAACCCCCAGAUUGCUAUUGAAACUGUACGGCUUGAGUGCAGGUGAGGUAAGUGGAAUUCCUAGUGUAGCGGUGAAAUGCGUAGAUAUUAGGAGGAACACCAGUGGCGAAGGCAGCUUACUGGACUGCAACUGACGUUGAGGCUCGAAAGCGUGGGGAUCAAACAGGAUUAGAUACCCCUGUAGUC